rnacentral:rRNA from 1 species
ACGCGAAGAAACCUUACCUGGGUCGAACUACGCAGGAAAAGCCGCAGAGAUGCGGUGUCCGCAAGGGCCUGCGAUAGGUGGUGCAUGGCUGUCGUCAGCUCGUGUCGUGAGAUGUUGGGUUAAGUCCCGCAACGAGCGCAACCCUUGUCCUAUGUUGCCAGCGGGUAAUGCCGGGGACUCGUAGGAGACUGCCGGGGUCAACUCGGAGGAAGGUGGGGAUGACGUCAAGUCAUCGUGCCCCUUACGUCCAGGGCUGCACACAUGCUACAAUGGCCGGUACAAAGGGCUGCUAUUCCGCGAGGAUGAGCGAAUCCCAAAAAGCCGGUCUCAGUUCGGAUUGGAGUCUGCAACUCUACUCCACGAAGUCCGAGUCGCUAGUAAUCCCGGAUCAUCAACCCCGGGGUGAACACCUUCCCGGGUCUUGUACCAUACCC